GUGCUUGCUUUGGCAGCACAUAUACUAAAAUUGGAACAACACACAGAAGAUUAGCAUGGCCCCUGCGCAAGGAUGACACACAAAUUUGUGAAGCGUUCCAUAUUUUU